rnacentral:misc_RNA from 1 species
AAGUCGUAACAAGGUCUCCGUAGGUGAACCUGCGGAGGGAUCAUUAACACUAUGAAAACACGAAGUAGACUGUCAAGACUGCAAAGUCAACACAGAUUACUUUUGUUAUCAACCAACUCGUGAACGAAACAUUAUUUUACCUCUCCUUCACUUAGCUAUUGUGAUCAAAAGCAUAGCUAUGUGUUAGUUUUUAUUGUAUUUUUUGUUAUUAUACAAACCAACAACAACAACAGUAUAACAAAGUAACACCUGUAUGUUUAUUCAUACUAGUGUGACUAAUAGUUAACAACAUAAGCACAACUCUUAGCAACGGAUAUCUCGGUUCUC